UACGUAGGGUGCGAGCGUUGUCCGGAAUUACUGGGCGUAAAGAGCUCGUAGGUGGUUUGUCGCGUUGUUCGUGAAAACUCACAGCUCAACUGUGGGCGUGCGGGCGAUACGGGCAGACUGGAGUACUGCAGGGGAGACUGGAAUUCCUGGUGUAGCGGUGAAAUGCGCAGAUAUCAGGAGGAACACCAGUGGCGAAGGCGGGUCUCUGGGCAGUAACUGACGCUGAGGAGCGAAAGCGUGGGGAGCGAACAGG
rnacentral:rRNA from 1 species